rnacentral:rRNA from 1 species
GACGUAGGGGUGCGAGCGUUGUCCGGAUUUAUUGGGCGUAAAGAGCGUGUAGGCGGCCAGGUAGGUCUGCUGUGAAAACCCGCGGCUCAACCUCGGGCCUGCAGUUGAUACGGGCAGACUAGAGUGCGGUAGGGGAGAACGGAAUUCCUGGUGUAGCGGUGAAAUGCGGCAGAUAUCAGGAGGAACACCGGUGGCGAAGGCGGGUCUCUGGGCCGAUACUGACGUGAGGAGCGAAAGCGUGGGGAGCGAACAGG